GGUCCCUGCCUCAAGGGCACUCUCAUUGCUUUUUCUUUUCAUUCUCAUUGCUUUUUUUUCUUAACCGGACCAACAAGGCCUAGCCAGAUGUGGCUCAUCUACUCUCUCCAGGCUCAUUCAAGGCUUUCUUCUCAGCUGUCCACACUCAACCACACCCCACCGCGGCCUUUCUCUCCUCAUUGCAUUUGGCUGUGCUCUUUCCUCCGCUGGACCCUCAGCUCUGCCCCCAAAGCUUCACCUGCCUAACUCCUACUGAGCCUUCAGCCUCAGCAUGGACCCUACCUCCUUGCAGAGGCCUUCCCUGAGCCUCCAGACUAGGCCAGGUCCCCUCCCUGGAGAUUUCUGAUUUCGGCCAGGAGUAGCAUUUCCAACAAGCCCCCAAGUGAUUUUUUAAAAAGUAGAAGUUUGGAAGACUCUGCACACUGCUGCCCGGGGCUCUCACAGCGCUCUUCAUUCUCCCGUCUCACUGGGCACACCUGGAACUGAUUAGUUACCUCCCUAAUGGCUGGGUCCACAUCUGUCUCAUCCAAGCCCAGUGGAGGUGGGCAAGAGGCUCAGCUUGGUUCUGGAGGAGGCAGAGGCUACAGGACAUCCAGGUUCCACUGAGAACAAUCAGGAUGCUGGGGAGAGUCAGAGAUCCAGAACUAGGAGAGAUCUUCCAAAGCUCCUGCAGAAAACCAGGAUCUCUGGGCUCCUUCAGCCCUUUGCAGACUUCUCUGAUAAGUCUGCCUGAGCACAGUGGUCCUGACACAGCUGCAUGAUGAGUGGCACCGCUUUGUGAGGCUGUUGGACUAGCGAGGCUUUCCCUGAGUGUGGGUAAGCGAGGACUAGCAG
rnacentral:lncRNA from 1 species